AUUUUGGCUAUCUUGCGCGUCGCAAAAUCAAUACCUUGCAGGGAGAGAGAUUACACAUGCCGGUUAUUCGUGUUGCCUCCCCACACACUGCGUUCCCCGAUCACAUUGGUACGACUACCCUUUGAAUUCUACAAUGCCCAUCCCAUGUUGCAUCUGGGCUUGUGUUCUGGUGGUCAGAGCUUGAAGCCCAUGGUCUGUCAGAUUUUAGAUACAUCAGGAGCAAUGCGAUUACGAGUUCCUUGGCUUGCCAAGAACCAACUCUACUGAGGAUGACUUGGUGUUUUAGGGAUGUGGCAAUAAUGUCAGCAGCUACUAAACUGCUACAGCCAAGUGUAGCAAUCAGUUCACUCCUCUGCUUCUAGUUCUGCAAACAUAAGCAAGAGUGUGUCUUCUUAGAGUCUGUUAAGGGAGAAAAUAUACAAGCUUUCCUAGGAACAUAGAAAGCUGCCAUAUACCGAGUCAGACCAUUGGUCUAUGAAGCUCAGUAUUGUCUUCACAGACUGGCAGCGGCUUCUCCAAAGUUUCAGACAGGAAUCUCUCUCAGCCCUAUCUUGGGGAUGCCACCAGGGAGGAAACUUGGAACCUUCUGCUCUUCCCUUACUGGGCUCACACAUGCGGUCUCCCAUUCAAAUGCAACUAGGGCAGACCCUGCUUAGCUAGUGGGACAAGUAAUUCUUGUUAUCACAGGACCAGCUCUCCUCUCAGCCACACAGGUUUCCUCAUCAAGAGCUUAACUCAAGGUUUGCAUCUAUAUGAGCUCUGAACUGCAGCGCAAUAAUUUACUAACCAAUAUAUAUAUAUCUGUUGCAUUUGUUUUUACAAGGAGUUGAGAACCAACUUCCCCCCAAUUUGAGAAGGAUUUGGUAUACAUUUUGCCCUCUUUUCCCAGCAACCUCAACAUUUAAAGGGCUUCUAACAUUGCUUGUAACAGAACCUCCUCAAGUUCUUUGGCUGAAGGGCACAAUAAAUAACACCAGUUCUCAGUUAAUAGUAAGGCUAAGGAUACUACAAGAAGCCACCUAACGGCACAGUGGGGAAAUUACUUGAUUAGCAAGCCAGAUGCUGCCAGUUCAAGUCCCCCCUGGUACGUUUCCCAGACUAUGGGAAACUCCUAUACCAGGCAGCAGCAUUAUAGGACGAUGUGGAAUGGCAUAAUCUCAUACUGUGCAGGAUAUGACAAUGGUACAACACAACAAAUAUGUAUAUACUUCUUUUCAACUAAAGUUUCCAAAGCGGUUUACACAGAUAUAAAUAAAUAAAAUGGCUCCCUGUCCCUAAAGGGCUCACAAUCUAGGGGGGAAGCAUAAGACACCAGCAACAGCCACUGGAGAAAUGCUGUGCCAGGGAUGGAUAGGGCCAGUUGCUCUCCCCCUACUAAAUACAGAGAAGAAUCACCACUUUUAGAAGAUACCUCUUUGCUCAGUUAGCAGGGUAUAGAACACUUCCUCUAUUCUACUCAAGGCAUCCACAGGGCUCUGUGGUCACCAGGAGUCAACAGCACACUUAGGAUACUACAGUCCUGUGCCGAUUUGCGACUGUGAGCCAUUCAACUCAAGACUGCCGAGAGAAAUGGAUUGCCUGCCUCAGCCUUCGUUUCCGAAAAGAAAUGCUCUCAGACCGGAUUUCUUACCAGGAGCAUCUUUCCUUCUCAGAGUCCUGCCCCCAUCAUAGACUGGCAACUCCCUCCCACUGGAUCCUCAGACCAGCAUGGGUCAUUUGCUGGCCAUCCACAUGGGCUGGUCAUACGACCCCAUCAAGGAGCAGCGUAAUCUCGAGCCAGUUCAAAGAGCCGGAGGUGCAUGUUGGUGAUGGGGUUGAAAGACCCACAAGCCAGGAGGACCACUUCCGCCCUGUCGUCCGAGUUCUCCAUGGGUCUUCGCUGCAGCCACCGGGGAAGAGGGAGAACAGCGUCACAGCAGCCACAUGCUACGAGGCGGGGUGGAGCAGGGUGUCGUGAAAAAGACAGAGCAACACAGGAAGCGGCCUUAACUGGUUGGAUUGGAAACUGUUUAAUUGGUUAUUUUUUCUUUCCUUCUCCUUUUAAUUUCCCGAUCAAAGAUCGUAAUAAAGAAAGUGCAUAAGGCUUAAGCUCACAGGGAAGCAGAGUUUGGCUGAACACCAGGAGGAACUACUUAAUGGUUCCUGGCAAGCGCUAUGAUCCACUACUGCCUGGCACACCUGGCCUAUCACUUCAGCAGAUGGUUACCAAAGCACCACCGGUUCCGACUCCAGCUCGUGAUCCUUGUCCUUGGAAUCUCCGCUCUCCUCCUCCAACUCUGCGUCCUACUCAGGUACAAAGUGCGUCUCGGCUCCUGUGCCUGGCCUGUACUGUCUCUUCGCGUGCUUGCAUACCUUCCAGAACAUGGGGAGAACCAGCCGGAAUAUCCAGGGACGUCCUUGCGAAGAGAGAGCUCCCAGCUUGCCCCAUUGACCGCGAUCUUCCCGCUACUGCGGCCAGCCCCUUCUCUACAACCUGGUGGCAAGCAUCGUCUUCACUUUCUUCACCACGGGUGCGUCCUGCAACCACCUGCCUCCGCAGCCACCAGCCAGGGAGUAAGACAGUGGCCCUGAAUGGCUAGCUUGCACACGGUCUGGCUGUGUUGCUGGUCAUGAUGGAUCCUGUUCCAGGGGAAUUAAAGAUCAUCCUCUCAGUCUUUGGGAUCGGGUCUCUUGCGGAAGGAAUCUGCACUGCUGUAUUAACGGCCUCAGCACCGGAAUGUGCCGUAACCACUCCUGAGCUCUACUGUCUGUCAGUGACUCUGUCAGUGUGUAGCAUCCUAUCAGCCGGUACGUGUUUGAUCAUUUCCUCUUUGCAUUUGAACCUGGCUGCUUGCUAGCCGGAGCAAGGCAACCUGAGCAGAAAGGCAACAUGAGGUAGGCAACCUGAGCUAGGCCAAACCCCACCCAUCCUUGUAGGUCUGGAACAGACCACACUGAGGGACCAGGAAAGAGUGGUGAGCCCUCACCAGCCUCAUUAAUGCCACUGGCAACUUUCUGCUGGGUGCUUUCCAGAUUACACGCUACAACAUUGUCACUACUGUCCACUAAGUGUGCUUCCGUACUGCCUGUGUUUCAACAUCUCAGUCCUUGAGCUGUCAGCAAGAUGCCGUUCACAUUUCCAAUGCCUUCUUUCGGGUUUUAUCUUUGCAUUACAGUGCUACAACGCUGCAUGUGCGUCGCAGAAAACAUAGCUGUAUUUUCCCGUUGUAGGAGGUUUGCGCAAGCUAGAAACGACUGCUCCCCCUGCUGGUGGCUUUGCGCAACAAACGGCUGGAUCCUUUAUUUACAUUUCAAUACGAUCCUGCCAAGUGGAAGCAUUUCACUGCUGUUGUAGCGUGGAAAGCACCCUGGAAACAUUUUGUGUGAGAGGAGGGAAUUUUGACAUAAUCUGACCAAAGUCAGCCACAGUUCAGCCCAAUAGAAAACAACAGAGUGCGCUGUCUGUGACUAUGUAUUUGUACAGAUUUGCUUUGUUCUGAUUAAUUUGAAUAAUCUGGGUGCUGGUGGGGGCAAUUUCCAAAUAUUUACACAAUGGAAGUGUUGGAAAAGAGGCAGGGAGGGGAAGUGUAUGUAUAUGUUCUCAAAGCAGGCCGAGUUUCCUUUUCCUGACACUAUCAUAUGGACUAGCAACUUGUUUUUAAAAAUGAAAGCUGAGGUUCUUAGAAUAUCAGAUUCUGUGCUGGGCAUUGGAUUUUAAAUGUGUCAAGGAAAUCUACAGGUGCUCGGUUCUCUCCUCUAAUGGCCCUUCUUGUUUAUUACAGCUGUUUUCUGCGUUCUGGGAAUAUUCUGGUUUGCUAAUAUGGCUUCUCCUGGUCUAAUCCUGAACAAACAGGCUAAGACUGGUAUCUGUUAUGAGCCAGUCUCUGAAUGCGGCUGCCUGUGGCACAUCUGACCCCUAACGGGCAGGGUGCCCAAUCCACUCGCCCCAUUUCCACAGCAACGUCCCUGCCUGCCAUGGGUCUCCUGUGAAACCACCUCCACUUACCUCCAUCUUUGCAGUGGAGAAACCAACUGAUCUCUGCUGCGGCCACAGUGGGAGGACCUUCAGAUCAGGGCUAUUCAUAGUCAAAGUCUUUAACUAUUCAUGUGUGCUGAGGCGGGUGGCCUUAGAGUAAAAAAUGCAGGGCUUCAGGGACCUCUUUAAAGGCUAUCUCCGGGAGUCUCCAAGCUUCCAACCUGUGAGUUUUUGUAGAAGAUCUCAGCACCCCCAUUCAACCCCACCCGGCUUUUUGCACAAAAUCGCAUUCAAAGCCCUUUCUUUUUCUGGUGCAGCUUGGAGUACAAGGCCAUGCGAUGAAAUCAGCUGGGAGAGGGUUGCUAUGGGAACUGGGAUGGAAUUGGAGACCGAAGGAACAGAGUCUUGCAAAAGCUCCAGUUUCAAAGAUGGGGCAGUUUCGAGUUGCGGGGUCAAUUGCUCCUUUCUGCCUCCAAGGGGACUUUCUUAGGAUGCUGCCUUCCCCAACCCCACCCCAAACAGCCGAAUUUCAGAUGAAGUUGAAAACAACCCACACCACAAUUUUCAGACUCAGUGUUGACUGAGUGGACUGUCUUUCUGUGUCAAAACAUUCUUGCACGUGGGAAUUGUAUACAUACUAGCCUUCCUCCUGUCACAAGUGCAAUAAAUAUAUUAAGGUAUCUCUUUUUUAAA